CUCAAUCACUGUUUGGAGGAGAACCACCUGCCAACCAAGAACAUCAUUUUGGACUUUACAAGAAUUAUACAGUCCUACCCACGCGAGGCCUCCUUAUAGAGAAAAGCACGUUCCAGAGAGGGACUGCUUCUUCAUCUGCAUCCUGGAUGAGAAAACACCUGGGCCAGAGCCGCAGCAGACCCACAGCCUACGUGCAUCGAGUGAGAAAUAAACAAUCAAUGUCAGCCACUGGGAUCUGGAGGUUGUUUGUUAUGUGGUAAAGUUGGCUGACACAGUUACACAAGAUUUUGCUGGGAUUUGCACAAAUAAAACAAGGGAGAAUGUGAGUGCAAGAAGCUAUUACAUUUCAAGCUGUAAGAACU
rnacentral:lncRNA from 1 species